rfam:Ricinus communis cultivar Hale ctg_1100012362093, whole genome shotgun sequence.
AGUCCAUGGUGUGGGCAGCACCACAGUAGGUCCUUAUACCUCUCUCAAGUGUCGUACAUCGACUCAUCGUCAAACUGCACGAAAGAAGAUAUGUUAUUUCUAAGUUU